GAAUGAGUUGCAAUUGGAAAUGAACCCGUGUAAAUGCAGAUGUGGACAUCAAAAUGCAGAUGAACACUGGGGUUAUUAAGCUUUCUCUUGUAACUACUAACGUAAAAAGUGCCUGAUAUUCAUUACAUGAUUAGAGACCCUUCUUCAAAUUUGAUCUAUAAUUCUACAAUAAUUAAUUUCUCCUUUUUAUUUAGUUAGUACCAAAUCUUAUAUGGUGCUUGUCUCAAUUCAUUUUUAAUUUUGAAUAUUGAAUUACAUGUUUAUGUUUGUUUGUUAGCAAUGGAUCUGGUUAUGAUUUUGGGGAGCUAGAAGAAGCAAUAGGCAAGGAGAUAAGUGUAGAAAUGAUGAGAAAAAAAGCAUGUACCAAGCCAUGCAAUCAGACCAAACUACAAAUAGAAAUUGUGCAAUGCAGUUUCCAGAAAAGCAUAAUCAUCAAGAAGAGAUAGCUGACAGAUUGAAUGUGAAAUAAAGAAGCUUGUUGAUGAACCAAUUUUAUUCUCUGAAAAUGGUGGGGAUUGAGAAGGAAGUGAAGAAAGAAAGAAAGAAAUGGGAGCUGUGGAUUUGGCAGUGAUCAAAGCAAAACUACUUUUAUUUAUAGAAAAUGUUGAAGUGAAGAAAAGAAGCUUGGAAAAGGGGAUUGUGUCUCGCACAAUCUAUUUAAUUUUUUAUUUUAAAAUUGAAAAGUGGUUUUCUAAGUAGUUGCCUUUUUGACUUUUAGCCCUCUUGUGUUGUUUAUAAAAUGAUGAAAUCCUUUAGUUUUAGGCUUUUUCUGAUUGCAAUCCCAUGUUUCUAAAA